rnacentral:rRNA from 1 species
CUUAACACAUGCAAGUCGAACGGUCAUGUUAGUUUACUAACAUGAUAGUGGCAGACGGGUGAGUAACGCGUGGGAACAUACCUCUUGGUUUAGGAUAACGGACGGGAAACUGUCGCUAAUACUGUAUACGCCCUUCGGGGGAAAGAUUUAUUGCCGAGAGAGUGGCCCGCGUUAGGUUAGGUAGUUGGUGUGGUAAAGGCGCACCAAGCCUUUGAUCUAUAGCUGGUCUGAGAGGAUGAUCAGCCACACUGGGACUGAGACACGGCCCAGACUCC